UACGUAGGUGGCAAGCGUUGUCCGGAUUUACUGGGCGUAAAGAGCGCGCAGGCGGUCGUUCAAGUCGCGUGUGAAAGCCCCCGGCUCAACUGGGGAGGGUCACGCGAUACUGAUCGACUCGAAGGCAGGAGAGGGUAGUGGAAUUCCCGGUGUAGUGGUGAAAUGCGUAGAUAUCGGGAGGAACACCAGUGGCGAAGGCGGGUCUCUGGGCCGUAACUGACGCUGAGGAGCGAAAGCAUGGGGAGCGAACAGGA
rnacentral:rRNA from 1 species